AUUGAACGCUGGCGGCAUGCCUUACACAUGCAAGUCGAACGGUAACGGGCCUUCGGGUGCCGACGAGUGGCGAACGGGUGAGUAAUAUAUCGGAACGUACCUUUCAGUGGGGGAUAACGUAGCGAAAGUUACGCUAAUACCGCAUAUUCUGUGCGCAGGAAAGCAGGGGACCUUCGGGCAUUGCGCUGAUUGAGCGGCCGAUAUCAGAUUAGCUAGUUGGAGAGGUAAAGGCUCACCAAGGCGACGAUCUGUGGCGGGUCUGAGAGGAUGAUCCGCCACACUGGAACGGAGACACGGUCCAGACUCCUACGGGAGGCAGCAGUGGGGAAUUUUGGACAAUGGGGGCAACCCUGAUUCAGCCAUGCCGCGUGAGUGAAGAAGGCCUUCGGGUUGUAAAGCUCUUUCGGCCGGGAAGAAAUCGUAUGGGCUAAUACCCUGUGCGGAUGACGGUACCGGCAUAAGAAGCACCGGCUAACUACGUGCCAGCCGCCGCGGUAACAC
rnacentral:rRNA from 1 species